GAUGAGGUUUUGAUGUUGAUGUGCUGUGCCUUUUUUUCGCCACACAUAGUGUUGUGUGUUUCUUCCAAACAACUCAACUUUGGUUUCACCUGUCCACAGAAUAUUUUGCCAGUACUGCUGUGGAACAUCCAGGUGCUCUUGUGCAAACUGUAAACGUGCAGCAAUGUUUUGUUUGGACAGCAGUGGCUUCCUCUGUGGUAUCCUCCCAUGAAAUCCAUUCUUGUUUAGUGUUUUACGUAUUGUAGAUUCGCUAACAGGGAU
rnacentral:lncRNA from 1 species